rnacentral:rRNA from 1 species
GAUGAACGCUGGCGGCGUGCUUAACACAUGCAAGUCGAACGAUGAAGCCCAGCUUGCUGGGUGGAUUAGUGGCGAACGGGUGAGUAACACGUGAGUAACCUGCCCUUGACUCUGGGAUAAGCCUGGGAAACUGGGUCUAAUACUGGAUAUGACUUCUCAUCGCAUGGUGGGGGGUGGAAAGAUUUAUUGGUCUUGGAUGGACUCGCGGCCUAUCAGCUUGUUGGUGAGGUAGUGGCUCACCAAGGCGACGACGGGUAGCCGGCCUGAGAGGGUGACCGGCCACACUGGGACUGAGACACGGCCCAGACUCCUACGGGAGGCAGCAGUGGGGAAUAUUGCACAAUGGGCGCAAGCCUGAUGCAGCGACGCCGCGUGAGGGAUGACGGCCUUCGGGUUGUAAACCUCUUUCAGUAGGGAAGAAGCGAGAGUGACGGUACCUGCAGAAGAAGCGCCGGCUAACUACGUG